GGAAGGUUGUCCGAGCGGCCGAAGGAGACGGUCUUGAAAACCGUUGUGCAGCGACCCUGCACCAAGGGUUCGAAUCCCUUACCUUCCG
rnacentral:tRNA from 4 species